AGAGUUUGAUCAUGGCUCAGAUUGAACGCUGGCGGCAGGCCUAACACAUGCAAGUCGAACGGUAACAGGAAGCAGCUUGGCUGCUUUGCUGACGAGUGGCGGACGGGUGAGUAAUGUCUGGGAAACUGCCUGAUGGAGGGGGAUAACUACUGGAAACGGUGGCUAAUACCGCAUAACGUCGCAAGACCAAAGAGGGGGACCUUCGGGCCUCUUGCCAUCAGAUGUGCCCAGAUGGGAUUAGCUUGUUGGUGAGGUAACGGCUCACCAAGGCGACGAUCCCUAGCUGGUCUGAGAGGAUGACCAGCCACACUGGAACUGAGACACGGUCCAGACUCCUACGGGAGGCAGCAGUGGGGAAUAUUGCACAAUGGGCGCAAGCCUGAUGCAGCCAUGCCGCGUGUAUGAAGAAGGCCUUCGGGUUGUAAAGUACUUUCAGCGGGGAGGAAGGUGUUGUGGUUAAUAACCGCAGCAAUUGACGUUACCCGCAGAAGAAGCACCGGCUAACUCCGUGCCAGCAGCCGCGGUAAUACGGAGGGUGCAAGCGUUAAUCGGAAUUACUGGGCGUAAAGCGCACGCAGGCGGUCUGUCAAGUCGGAUGUGAAAUCCCCGGGCUCAACCUGGGAACUGCAUUCGAAACUGGCAGGCUUGAGUCUUGUAGAGGGGGGUAGAAUUCCAGGUGUAGCGGUGAAAUGCGUAGAGAUCUGGAGGAAUACCGGUGGCGAAGGCGGCCCCCUGGACAAAGACUGACGCUCAGGUGCGAAAGCGUGGGGAGCAAACAGGAUUAGAUACCCUGGUAGUCCACGCCGUAAACGAUGUCUACUUGGAGGUUGUGCCCUUGAGGCGUGGCUUCCGGAGCUAACGCGUUAAGUAGACCGCCUGGGGAGUACGGCCGCAAGGUUAAAACUCAAAUGAAUUGACGGGGGCCCGCACAAGCGGUGGAGCAUGUGGUUUAAUUCGAUGCAACGCGAAGAACCUUACCUGGUCUUGACAUCCACAGAACUUUCCAGAGAUGGAUUGGUGCCUUCGGGAACUGUGAGACAGGUGCUGCAUGGCUGUCGUCAGCUCGUGUUGUGAAAUGUUGGGUUAAGUCCCGCAACGAGCGCAACCCUUAUCCUUUGUUGCCAGCGGUCCGGCCGGGAACUCAAAGGAGACUGCCAGUGAUAAACUGGAGGAAGGUGGGGAUGACGUCAAGUCAUCAUGGCCCUUACGACCAGGGCUACACACGUGCUACAAUGGCGCAUACAAAGAGAAGCGACCUCGCGAGAGCAAGCGGACCUCAUAAAGUGCGUCGUAGUCCGGAUUGGAGUCUGCAACUCGACUCCAUGAAGUCGGAAUCGCUAGUAAUCGUGGAUCAGAAUGCCACGGUGAAUACGUUCCCGGGCCUUGUACACACCGCCCGUCACACCAUGGGAGUGGGUUGCAAAAGAAGUAGGUAGCUUAACCUUCGGGAGGGCGCUUACCACUUUGUGAUUCAUGACUGGGGUGAAGUCGUAACAAGGUAACCGUAGGGGAACCUGCGGUUG
rnacentral:rRNA from 1 species